rnacentral:rRNA from 1 species
UACAGAGGGUGCGAGCGUUAAUCGGAAUUACUGGGCGUAAAGCGUGCGUAGACGGUUAUUUAAGUCGGGUGUGAAAGCCCCGGGCUCAACCUGGGAAUUGCAUUCGAGACUGAAUAGCUAGGGUACGGUAGAGGGAAGUGGAAUUUCCGGUGUAGCAGUGAAAUGCGUAGAUAUCGGAAGGAACAUCAGUGGCGAAAGCGACUUCCUGGACCAGUACCGACGUUCAGGCACGAAAGCGUGGGGAGCAAACAGGA